GAUGAACGCUGACAGAAUGCUUAACACAUGCAAGUCUUUGGCGAAGCUGUGCUUGCACAGCCUAGCCAAGGCGGACGGGUGAGUAACGCGUAAGGAACUUGCCCUGCAGUCAGGGAUAACAGACGGAAACGACUGAUAAGACCUGGUAAAGUCAGGCGGACUCAUGUCCAGCCUGAUGAAAAGAGAUGCUGCAGGAGAGCCUUGGGUCCUAUUAGCUUGUUGGUGGGGUAACGGCCCACCAAGGCGAUGAUAGGUAGCCGGCCUGAGAGGGUGGACGGCCACAAGGGGACUGAGAUACGGCCCUUACUCCUACGGGAGGCAGCAGUGGGGAAUAUUGGACAAUGGGGGCAACCCUGAUCCAGCAAUUCUGUGUGCACGAUGAAGGUUUUCGGAUUGUAAAGUGCUUUAAGCAGGGAAGAAAAAAAUGACGGUACCUGCAGAAGAAGCGACGGCUAAAUACGUG
rnacentral:rRNA from 1 species